rnacentral:tRNA from 1 species
GGGACUGUGGAGCAGCGGAGUGCUCGUCUCCCUGUCACGGAGAAGGUCGCGGGUUCAAAUCCCGUCAGUCCCG